rnacentral:rRNA from 1 species
UAAUACGGAGGGUGCAAGCGUUAAUCGGAAUUACUGGGCGUAAAGCGUGCGUAGGCGGUUAUUUAAGUCAGAUGUGAAAGCCCUGGGCUUAACCUGGGAACUGCAUUUGAUACUGGAUGACUAGAGUUGAGUAGAGGAGAGUGGAAUUUCAGGUGUAGCGGUGAAAUGCGUAGAGAUCUGAAGGAACACCAGUGGCGAAGGCGGCUCUCUGGACUCAAACUGACGCUGAGGUACGAAAGCGUGGGUAGCAAACAGGAUUAGAUACCCUGGUAGUCCACGCCGUAAACGAUGUCAACUAACCGUUGGGUUCUUAAAGAACUUAGUGGUGGAGCUAACGUAUUAAGUUGACCGCCUGGGGAGUACGGCCGCAAGGCUAAAACUUAAAUGAAUUGACGG